AGAGUUUGAUCAUGGCUCAGAACGAACGCUGGCGGCAGGCCUAACACAUGCAAGUCGAACGCCGUAGCAAUACGGAGUGGCAGACGGGUGAGUAACGCGUGGGAACAUACCCCUCGGUUCGGAAUAACUCAGGGAAACUUGAGCUAAUACCGGAUACGUCCGAGGUUUUAAUCGACCUUGGAGAAAGAUUUAUCGCCGGAGGAUUGGCCCGCGUCUGAUUAGCUUGUUGGUGAGGUAAUGGCUCACCAAGGCGACGAUCAGUAGCUGGUCUGAGAGGAUGAUCAGCCACAUUGGGACUGAGACACGGCCCAAACUCCUACGGGAGGCAGCAGUGGGGAAUAUUGGACAAUGGGCGAAAGCCUGAUCCAGCCAUGCCGCGUGAGUGAUGAAGGCCUUAGGGUUGUAAAGCUCUUUUACCCGGGAAGAUAAUGACGGUACCGGGAGAAUAAGCCCCGGCUAACUUCGUGCCAGCAGCCGCGGUAAUACGAAGGGGGCUAGCGUUGUUCGGAAUUACUGGGCGUAAAGCGCACGUAGGCGGAUCUUUAAGUCAGGGGUGAAAUCCCGAGGCUCAACCUCGGAACUGCCUUUGAUACUGGGGAUAUCGAGUCCGGGAGAGGUGAGUGGAACUGCGAGUGUAGAGGUGAAAUUCGUAGAUAUUCGCAAGAACACCAGUGGCGAAGGCGGCUCACUGGCCCGGUACUGACGCUGAGGUGCGAAAGCGUGGGGGAGCAAACAGGAUUAGAUACCCUGGUAGUCCACGCCGUAAACGAUGGAUGCUAGCCGUUAGACAGCUUGCUGUUUAGUGGCGCAGUUAACGCGUUAAGCAUCCCGCCUGGGGAGUACGGUCGCAAGAUUAAAACUCAAAGGAAUUGACGG
rnacentral:rRNA from 1 species